UACGAAGGGGGCUAGCGUUGUUCGGAUUUACUGGGCGUAAAGCGCACGUAGGCGGAUUGUUAAGUCAGGGGUGAAAUCCCGGGGCUCAACCCCGGAACUGCCUUCGAUACUGGGUAUCUUGAGUUCGGAAGAGGUGAGUGGAAUUGCGAGUGUAGAGGUGAAAUUCGUAGAUAUUCGCAGGAACACCAGUGGCGAAGGCGGCUCACUGGUCCGAUACUGACGCUGAGGUGCGAAAGCGUGGGGAGCAAACAGGG
rnacentral:rRNA from 1 species